UUUUGAUGGUGGGCAGACACAAAGAGUAAAGCAGGAAGAGUGAGAAGAUGAAACCUCAGAGGAUGGACCAGGCAAAGACAACCUUGUCCAAAUGAUGGAAAAUAGCCACAGAGAUGGCAUGUGGAUGUCACAUAAUCCCUAUUAUGACUUCACUUCUGUUUGUUCCUUGAAGUCAUAUAACAGUCUAAACACACACACACACACACACACACACACACGCACGCACGCACGCACGCACGCACGCGCCACCCACUACUGUCAAGACAAUGAAAAAUAAGAACAGGUUGAGAUGCUGCUACAGGACAGAAGAGAAUUAGCAUACCCUGCUCUCUGGUGCCACCGCGUGGUAUGAAGGGGGAACAGCAAGAGGAGCGGACAGGCUCAGGGGUCCAGGCUCCCUGGAAAACGUCAAGACCGGCAGCCUCUUGAAAUGUUGACUAUCCGAGGAUGGGGCAGCCCAGAAGUCCUGAACUUCCCUAGGUUCUUCUGUGCUGUUCGGUGUCUAGGCUCUGCCAUCUCUCGACAAUGCCAUCAAAUUCUUAAUCAUCAAUCCACCAGAAAUCCUCAGAAUCUGAUCCCACCCUGAUGACUGGAUCUAGGAGACCAGCCCCUUAGUUUUAGGGGUGUGGGUCACUGCCAUCUAUCCUGGCACAGGAAGACUAUGAAAUGGCUCUGGUAGAGCUGAGUGACAUCCUUCCAAGGCACCCUAGGCAUUUACAAGAUGCCCUGCAGUAACCCCGUGAUGGCUCAGGUCAUGUAGCUGGGUAGAAAAAAGGCUCUCAGGUCAUAGAAUACCAGAGGCAGGACUGGAGAGAAAAAACAAUCUGGUAACCACCACAAGUCAUGGAGAGCUCUGCCAUCAGAAAGUAGGGGUCAGGUGACAGCCCGGAGGCCACUAGGGUCUCCCCAGACCUAAGCUCUAUUGUACCCUCAAAAUAUGGAGGGCAGGAAUGGUGACUCUAACCAGGCACAGCCCUGCCUGACUAUAUCAGGAUGGACUGAGCCACCCACAAUGAAGCAGACAGGAGAACGUGAGCACUGUCUUCUGAGCAGAGCCAUACAUCACACCUGCACAUUCACUUGGGAAGUUGUGCAAAGACACAGGAAAAUGUAACUCAAUAAGAAUAAAACUCAAUAAAAGCCAGACAGGGGCAGCCCAGCUCUGGGAAAUAGAGGCCUCUAUAUUAUAAACACACCAGAUGGCCUAAGAGAAAGGGCGGAUGCUAUUUGAGAAUGAUGGGGAUUUGAACGGAAAGAUUAAAAAAAAAAAAACCAUGGCAGUUCUACCAAUAAAACCCAAACCCACAGAUACAAUACAGUAACACAGAAAUCUAUGCAGGGAGUUUAGCAGCAGAUGGCAUACGGCGGGGGGAGGGGGAGACAGGGUUCCCCGGAGCAAAUCCACAUGGAAACAAAAGCAAACUGAGCCACAUAAAAUGGUAAGUCCAAUGCACCCGAGACCAGAAGUCUACAACAGAAACAUAUGAAGAAAUAUUUGAGGAAGAAAUGGCUGAGAAUUUCUCCAAACUGGUGUAAGACAUCAACCCACUGGUCCAAGGACCCAGAAAGGAUGAGAAUGAAGAAACAUUCACCAUGGUUCCCCAUGUGCAGUUGCCCGGGUUUCAGUUACUCACCAACUGCAGUCUGAAAAUAUGAACUAGGAGACCAGCGAUACACAGUUCAUUGGUUCAAAUGAUGCUCCACUCUGAACAGGCUCUCCCACCAUCCCAUUCCCUCCCACCUGUAAUGUGGAUCCUCCUGUCUCACAGUGCAUCCACAGUAGAUUUCACCUUCCCAUUCAUCAGACCAGCUGCUGCCGUAUCACCAUGCUGUUCUCAGCGGACUCUGUUUUACUACUGUCGCAGAAGCAGUGACCCUGAAGAUUCACACUUGCCUUGGAACAGCUUUUUCUGGGGAGAUGGUAGAAGUUAUCAAUAAGGAAAGAUAACUGUGCCAAGACUGCUGUAGUGACCUGGUAGAGCCUUCACUCCACAGAGCUGAGGAGCAGAAGCUUGCUAUCACACCAACUGUGGAACAGCUGUGGUAAAGUGAGACCCUUAUAUAAGAUGGAAAGGCC